UCAAUUCAAUUCAAUUCAAUUUUAUUUGUAUAGCACCAAUUCAUAACAGAAGUUAUCUCAGGACACUUUUCAAAUAGAGCAGGUCUAGACCGAACUCUUUAACAUUAAUUACAGAGACCCAACAGUACCACCAUGAGCAAGCACUUGGCGACAAGGGCAAGGAAAAACUGCCUGUUAAAAGGCAGAAACCUAGGACAGAUCCUCCGGCUCUAGGUGGGUGGUCGUCUGUCUCGACCAGUUGGGGUGAGAGAGUGAGAGAGAGAGAGACAGACAGACAGACAGGUGCACAGCAACAACAGUAUUGGCAAUAGCAGUCAAGCAGGACCAUGGCAGGAGGCUCCACCAGGAUCAAUGAGAACCUGCGAGACGAGAAAGCACAAGAACUCCGAGGAAGAAGUGGAGUUAGUAACAUGCAUUAAUGGGACAUGAAUGAGUGCAGAAAGAGAGAGGAAGAGAGUAGCUCAGUGCACCAUGGGAAAUCCCCCGAUAGUCUAGGCCUAUAGCAGCAUAACUAAGGGAUGGUUCAGGACUCACCUGAUCCAGCCCUAAAUAUAAGCUUUAUCAAAGAGGAAUGUCUUAAGCCUACUCUUGAAUGUGGUGAGGGUGUCUGCCUCCCGAACCACAACUGGAAGCUGGUUCCACAGGAGAGGAGCUUGGUAACUGAAGGCUCUGGCUCCUGUUCUACUUUUAGAGACUAUAGGAACCACAAGUAGCCCAGCAUUCAGAGAACGUAAUGUUCUAGUGGGGUAAUAGGGUACUAUGAGCUCUUUAAGAUAUGAAGGGGCCUGACCAUGAAGAGCUUUAUAGGUGAGGAGGAGGAUUUUAAAUUCAAUUCUACAUUUUAUAGGGAGCCAAUGCAGAGAAGCUAGUACAGGAGAGAUGUGAUCUCUUUUUCUAGUUCCUGUCAGUACUCAUGCUGCAGCGUUCUGAAUUAAUUGGAGCGUUUUAAUGGACUUAUUGGGGCAACCUGAUAAUAAAGAGUUGCAGUAAUCCAGCCUUGAAGUAACAAAUGCAUGGAUUAGUUUUUCUGCAUCUGUCUGUGAUAGUAUGUGUCUAAUUUUUCUAAUAUUACGUAAAUGAAAGAAGGCGGUCCUAGAGGUCUGCUUUAUGUGGGAGUUAAAUGACAAAUCCUGAUCAAAGAUAACUCCAAGAUUCCUGACAGUGGUGCUAGAGGCCGAGUUAAUGCCAUCUAGAGUGACUAUAUCUUUAGACAAUGAGUCUCUAAGGUUUUUGGGGCCAAGAACAAGAAUUUCGUUUUUUUCUGAGUUUAACAUCAGAAAAUUG